UACGUAGGGGGCAAGCGUUGUCCGGAUUUAUUGGGCGUAAAGAGCGUGUAGGCGGCCAGACAGGUCAGUUGUGAAAACUCGAGGCUCAACCUCGAGACGCCGAUGGAAACCGUCUGGCUAGAGUCCGGAAGAGGAGAGUGGAAUUCCUGGUGUAGCGGUGAAAUGCGUAGAUAUCAGGAGGAACACCGGUGGUGUAGACGGCUCUCUGGACCGUAACUGACGCUGAGACACGAAAGCGUGGGUAGCAAACAGG
rnacentral:rRNA from 1 species